CAUUAUCCUUGUCCUGCCUCUACGAGCUUACCGCCUCCUGCAAGCACAGCAGCUGAUCCUGCCUCACACAAUGGUCAGUCAGGAAUUCAGAUGCCUCCACCAUUGCCCCAAUUUCAACCUGGGGCCAGUUUACCAUCAUGGAACUCAUCACCUAUGCCAUCAUCUGCAAAUGGCGCUCCUGCUAGCACAACAACAGCUGAUCCUGGCUCACACAAUGGUCAGUCAGGAAUUCAGAUGCCACCACCGUUGCCCCAAUAUCAACCUGGGGCCAGUUUACCGUCAUGGAACUCAUCACCUAUGCCAUCAUCUGCAAAUGGUGCUGGCCUUACUAUGCCACCAAUGUACUGGCCAGGAUUUUAUACACCACCAAGUGGGUUUCCUCAUUUGCAACAACCGCCCUUUCUUCGUCCACCACAUGGCUUGACAAUUCCACAGGCCUUGCAGCAGCCCAUACAGUAUCCUGGACUUAAUGCACCUUUACCACCUUUUCCUAGAAUGCCAGAGUUUGCUUUACCACAAC
rnacentral:lncRNA from 1 species